rnacentral:rRNA from 1 species
GACGAACGCUGGCGGCGCGCUUAACACAUGCAAGUCGAGCGAUGAAACUUUAACAGAUCCCUUCGGGGCGAAGAUAAAGUGGAUUAGCGUCGGACGGGUGCGUAACACGUGAGUAACCUGCCUUAGACAUUGGGUUAUCCUCGGGAAACCGGGAUUAAUACCAAAUAAAAUCAUAAUGACACAUGUCAUAACGAUCAAAACUCCGGUGGUCUAAGAUGGACUCGCGUCGCAUUAGCUAGUUGGUAGAGUAAAAGCCUACCAAGGCGACGAUGGGUAGACGGGCAGAGAGAGUGAACGGACACAUUGGAACUGAGAAACGGUCCAAAAUCCUAGGGGAGGCAGGAGUGGGGAAUAUUGCACAAUGGAGGGAACGCUGAAGCAGCGAGGCCGCGUAAACGAAGAAGGAUGGCGAGAAGUAAAGUUCUUUUAUAUGGGAAGAUAAUGACGGUACCAUAAGAAAAAGCACCGGCUAACUACGUG